rnacentral:rRNA from 1 species
AAAAACAUGUCUUUUUAGUUAUUUAAUAUAAAGUCUGACCUGCCCACUGAAUUUAUUUUUGAAGGGCCGCAGUAUUUUGACUGUGCAAAGGUAGCAUAAUCAUUAGUCUUUUAAUUGAAGGCUGGUAUGAAUGGUUGGAUGAGGUACAAGCUGUGUCAUAAAAAUUAAUAUUUGAAUUUAACUUUUUAGUCAAAAGGCUAAAAUUUAAUUGAAAGACGAGAAGACCCUAUAGAGCUUUAUAUAAUGAUUAUUUAAUUUAUUAAGAUUUAUUAAAUUUAAUUGUUUUAUUGUAUUUUGUUGGGGUGACAAUAAAACUUAAAAAACUUUUAUUAUUAUUUUACAUUUAUUUAUGAUUUUAUGAUCCAGUUUUAUUGAUUAUAAAUUUAAGUUACCUUAGGGAUAACAGCGUAAUUUUUUUUGAGAGUUCAUAUCGACAAAAAAGAUUGCGACCUCGAUGUUGGAUUAAGAGUAAUUUUGGGUGUAGAAGUUCAAAGUUUAAGUCUGUUCGACUUUUAAAUUCUUACAUGAUCUGAGU